GUCUCGGUAAAGAGCUCAGACCAGGAAGUGCCGUAUGACACUGUAAACAGCAGCUGCUUCUCUGCCGCCGCUGCAAGUGCCCAUCCCUGUAUCAUAACCUCUGUGGUUUGCUCUGCGACGGAAUACCCAUUUGCACCGGCUUGAUUCAGCUGUGUACGUGAUUUGAAAUGGGUCUCUGAGGGAU
rfam:Triticum aestivum genome assembly, contig: Triticum_aestivum_CS42_TGACv1_scaffold_030617_1BL